UAAGCCCAGAACGGUAACAGGCCUGAAUGGCAAUGGCGGCUACUAGCGCAGCUACCAUUCGCCGCCAUGCGUCCGUUGACAGGUUGGAAUAGAUGGUGCCAGUGGUAGCAUCCAUCCUUUCACCUGUGUGCGUCGGUGAUGGGGUUUGCGGGUGCGUGGUGAGAGAGGGGGACAGGUGCACGCUAUCAUGAACCAGGCUAAAUUCGUAAUAAUUCGCCCCCCAUGCGCCACAAACCCCACCCAACCUGAAACCCCUUAGUUCCCCAGAUCCAUUUCCACGUCACUGUGUCGCACAAUUCCGCCGACCUUUGCGCACCCCAGCAUAUGUGUGCCCGCGGUUUCCAAUGCUCUAUUGAAUGCACCAAAAGCCAGCCCAGGCCCUGCGUCCUAGGGCCCAAACGAGCUCCUCCGUACAAUGUUUGCUCGCACACUCCGGCGCACGCGAUUAGGUGUCGCGCGCUACUGUAUGGUAGCCCUUGUGUCGCACAAGUGGUUGGAGCGUGUUUGGGGUGAGUUGGCGCGGCAGGGUGGUGUCGCGCCCAUGCUGCCCCGCUUGCGGGGCUUGUUCCCGGCCGGUCUCUGAUGGCUAUGGUGUAGUCCUAUGAAUUAUCUGUGCGCGGGUUGGUGCCCGGCGAAUUUCUGUUGCAUGGGGCCUGCGCGCAUGGCGUGCCCCUCGGGGGGUAAUCGCGCUCGGAUCACAUAAGGGCCGCUCGAACUAAAAUUUGCCACUCAUACAAUAAUUACAGCUACUGUAUGUCUACUCGCCCAUGUGUAGCACGCUUGGGCGCUAGCUCGCAUUUGAGAGAACCAACACCCUUGCUCCCCCCAUUUUCGUCAAAACCAACAUUCUGCAAAUUGAUACUGUAGUUCUCACUCUGAGUAGCAGCUACGGCUGUCGUUCCCGUGGUUGAGAGCCCUUACCGUUGUGGUUCUACUGUGGAGGCAGCGGGCGUAGCGACCGGGCGCAAGCAGCCGAGCGGGCGGUGGAGAACCAGUCGCAAAAGUCUGCGGAAUUGUGGGAUCCAGUGAAGGCGGGUUCGUGUGUCGGUUGUGACAGAGCGAGGUGAGCCCGAGCGCGAAGCCCAGCUGGCGCUACAACCUUUGGGUCAAAAGUCAACGAUAGCCGCUGCGGGCCAGGCGCGUGGCCUCGCUGGGUCGCUGGUUGCACCCAGCAUGGCGUUUCGCAAGCUUAACUGGUUUUGGUUGCAAGUUCCUUCGCGGCGAUGCUCCAAUUGCGCCCUAUGCACUGGUUGCAGGUCGUCGGCGGUGUUCCGGCGUCAUGCUUCCGUGGCAAAAUGUAUGAUGCGCUCCGGUC
rnacentral:lncRNA from 1 species